GGAGGCGUCCUUCUUAAUUACUCCCUGAACAGCACACCACUCGUGGACCUUGCAACACAGCCAGGAUGACUAACUCUGGAGUGCGGCCAAGGGUCCAUACUCCCAGAUGGAUCACAUUGUGUGGAUGGUGGGACUAACACAGUCAUAUGAAUGCUGUGGCAAGAAGGGUGUGUAAAGAAAACUGAAGUCAUGACGAAAUGAUUAAUACACGGUGCCAGGAUGGGAUUAUACAGCAGUGGUUUGAAGGGACACUCCUUUGGGCAAUGCUUCAGUUUCCAUUUGAUGCAAUCACCUCAGCAAUUUACAAGUUUAACCUCUGGACUGGCAUCCUUGAACGAGGAAGUGGAGGAGGAAAGCAGUUAGGGGAGCAGUAAACUGUAAAGCAUUGGUGCAGUCUGGCUCUAUCGGUGACUCAACAGGAAAUGAUGGAGCUGGAGUACGUAAGAGAGACAAAGAGAGAGCACACCGUGGUUUUUCCUAAGGAUAUACUGUAUGUGGGCCAUGAAGACACAGCUGGCCUCACCCCUCCACCCUCCCACCCUGAUGCUAUUCGGUGUUAUAGAGACAUGACCACACAAUCACAUGCAAGGUAAACAAUCAGUUUGCAAAAGUGUCUUUCUGUUGCCCUCCUUAGCGAUCAAUCUAGAAAUCGACUU